rnacentral:rRNA from 1 species
GACGAACGCUGGCGGCGUGCUUAACACAUGCAAGUCGAGCGGAAAGGCCUCCUUCGGGGGGUACCCGAGCGGCGAACGGGUGAGUAACACGUGAGUGAUUUGCCCCCUACUCUGGGAUAACUGCCUGAAAGGGUGGCUAAUACCGGAUGCGACCAACUGCUGCAUGGUUUGUUGGUGUACAGGUUUUUCUGGUGGGGGAUGUGCUCGCAGCCUAUCCGCUUGUUGGUGGGGUAAUGGCCUACCAAGGCUUUGACGGGUAGACGGACGGAGAGGGUGACCGGCAAUAGUGGGACGGAGGCACGGCCCAGACUCCUACGGGAGGCAGCAGUAAGGAAUAUGGGGCAAUGGACGCAAGUCUGACCCAGCCAGGCCGCGUGCAGGAUGACGGCCCUACGGGUUGUAAACUGCUUUUGGACGGGAAAAAACCCUCGCUCGUGGGCGGGGCUGAUGGUACCGUAAGAAUAAGCAUCGGCUAACUCCGUGCCAGCAGCCGCCGUAACAC